rnacentral:rRNA from 1 species
AGAGUUUGAUCCUGGCUCAGGAUGAACGCUAGCGGUAGGCAUAACACAUGCAAGUCGAGGGGCAGCAUAAUUAAAGCUUGCUUUGAUUGAUGGCGACCGGCGGAUGGGUGAGUAACGCGUAUGCAACCUGGCUUAUACAGGAGGAUAGACACUGGAAACGGUGCGUAAUACUGCGUAAUGUUAUUGAGAGGCAUCUCUUGAUAAAGAAAGAUUUCGAUUGGUAUAAGAUGGGCAUGCGUAGGAUUAGCUAGAUGGUGAGGUAAUGGCUUACCAUGGCGACGAUCUUUAGGGGUUCUGAGAGGAAGGUCCCCCACAUUGCAACUGAGAACGGUGCAAACUCCUACGGGAGGCAGCAGUGAGGAAUAUUGGUCAAUGGGCGGAAGCCUGAACCAGCCAUACCGCGUGCAGGAAGGCGGCCUUAUGGGUUGUAAACUGCUUUUAUAUUGGGAUAAAGGGCUUGUCGAGGACAAGCAAUUGAAGGUACAGUAUGAAUAAGUAUCGGCUAACUCCGUGCCAGCAGCCGCGGUAAUACGGAGGAUACGAGCGUUAUCCGGAUUUAUUGGGUUUAAAGGGUGCGUAGGCGGACAUUUAGGUCUAUGGUGAAAUCGUUGUGCUCAACACAAUUCAGCUGUAGAAACCGAGUGACUAGAAUAUAAGUGGCGCAGGCGGAAUAAAGCAUGUAGAGGUGACAUUCAUAGAUAUGCUUUAGAACACCGAUCGCGAAGGCGGCUUGCGAAGGUAUGAUUGACGCUAAUGCACGAAAGCGUGGGUAUCGAACAGAAUUAGAUACUCUGGUAGUCCACGCUGUAAACGAUGAUAACUAUAUGUUGGCGAUAGACGGCCAGUGUAGCAGCGAAAGCGAUAAGUUAUCCACCUGGGGAGUACGAUCGCAAGGUUGAAACUCAAAGGAAUUGACGGGGGCCCGCACAAGCGGAGGAGCAUGUGGUUUAAUUCGAU